rnacentral:rRNA from 1 species
UACGUAGGGCGCAAGCGUUGUCCGGAAUUAUUGGGCGUAAAGAGCUCGUAGGCGGCUUGUCACGUCGGUUGUGAAAGCCCGGGGCUUAACCCCGGGUCUGCAGUGGAUACGGGCAGACUAGAGUCAGGUAGGGGAGAACGGAAUUCCUGGUGUAGCGGUGAAAUGCGCAGAUAUCAGGAGGAACACCGGUGGCGAAGGCGGUUCUCUGGGCCUGUACUGACGCUGAGGAACGAAAGCGUGGGGAGCGAACAGG